CUGGUUGAUCCUGCCAGCGGCCACUGCUAUUGGGUUUCGCUUAAGCCAUGCGAGUCGAGAGGGUUCGGCCCUCGGCAGACUGCUCAGUAACACGUGGAUAACCUACCCUUGAAACGGGGAUAAACCCGGGAAACUGGGUAUAAUACCCGAUAGAUCUCGACUGCUGGAAUGCAUCGAGCUUUAAAGCUCCGGCGCUCAAGGAUGAAUCUGCGGCCUAUCAGGUAGUAGUGGGUGUAGCGUACCUACUAGCCUACGACGGGUACGGGUUGUGAGAGCAAGAGCCCGGAGAUGGAUUCUGAGACACGAAUCCAGGCCCUACGGGGUGCAGCAGGCGCGAAAACUUUACAAUGCUGGAAACAGCGAUAAGGGGACCUCGAGUGCCAGGUUACAAAUCUGGCUGUCGUGAUGCCUAAAAAGCAUUGCAUAGCAAGGGCCGGGCAAGACCGGUGCCAGCCGCCGCGGUAACACCGGCGGCUCGAGUGGUAACCGUUAUUAUUGGGUCUAAAGGGUCUGUAGCCGGCCGGAUAAGCCUCUUGGGAAAUCUGGCAGCUUAACUGUCAGGCUUUCAGGAGAUACUGUCUGGCUCGAGGCCGGGAGAGGUGAGAGGUACUUCAGGGGUAGGGGUGAAAUCUUGUAAUCCUUGAAGGACCACCAGUGGCGAAGGCGUCUCACCAGAACGGACCUGACGGCAAGGGACGAAAGCUAGGGGCACGAACCGGAUUAGAUACCCGGGUAGUCCUAGCCGUAAACGAUACUCGCUAGGUGUCGGCCACGGUGCGACCGUUGUCGGUGCCGUAGGGAGGCCGUGAAGCGAGCCACCUGGGAAGUACGGCCGCAAGGCUGAAACUUAAAGGAAUUGGCGGGGGAGCACCACAACGGGUGGAGCUUGCGGUUUAAUUGGAUUCAACGCCGGG
rnacentral:rRNA from 1 species